rnacentral:rRNA from 1 species
ACUCUUACCCGGCUGAAUUUAAGCAUAUCACUAAGCGGAGGAAAAGAAACCAAAAGGGAUUCCCUCAGUAGCGACUGAACCGGGAGUAGCCCAUCGCGUGGGCUAUUCCAGCGAUCGAUCCCUCGAUCCGGAGGUUUAAGCGAUGCCGCGUAAUGGGCAGAAUAAGCGGUACCCUCUUAACUCAGGUUCUUAAAUGUAUCUUGAGGGGUGUAUAGACAAAACUAUCUAUUUACUUACAACAUUUGUGUAACCAUGGAAGGUGGUAGCCCUGUAAAGAUCUGACCUUCGACGUACCCGUUCUCGUAAAGAGUAAGGUUGCUUGUUACAACCCGAAGUAGGUGGUACAUUCCAUCUCAGGCUAAAUACCCUUACGGAGACCCCUAGCGUUU